GCGAAUGCCCCAGUAACGGCGAGUGAGCGGCAAAGCUCAAAUUUGAAUCCUGCGGGAAUUGUAAUUUGAAGGUUUCGUGGUCUGAGUCGGCCGCGCCCAAGUCCAUUGGAACAUGGCGCCUGGGAGGGUGAGAGCCCCGUCCGGCGCACGCCGACUCUUUGCACCGCGGCUCCGACGAGUCGAGUUGUUUGGGAAUGCAGCUCUAAGUGGGUGGUAAAAUUCCAUCUAAAGCU
rnacentral:rRNA from 1 species